GAUGAACGCUGGCGGCGUGCCUAAUACAUGCAAGUCGAGCGAACGGACGAGAAGCUUGCUUCUCUGAUGUUAGCGGCGGACGGGUGAGUAACACGUGGAUAACCUACCUAUAAGACUGGGAUAACUUCGGGAAACCGGAGCUAAUACCGGAUAAUAUUUUGAACCGCAUGGUUCAAAAGUGAAAGACGGUCUUGCUGUCACUUAUAGAUGGAUCCGCGCUGCAUUAGCUAGUUGGUAAGGUAACGGCUUACCAAGGCAACGAUGCAUAGCCGACCUGAGAGGGUGAUCGGCCACACUGGAACUGAGACACGGUCCAGACUCCUACGGGAGGCAGCAGUAGGGAAUCUUCCGCAAUGGGCGAAAGCCUGACGGAGCAACGCCGCGUGAGUGAUGAAGGUCUUCGGAUCGUAAAACUCUGUUAUUAGGGAAGAACAUAUGUGUAAGUAACUGUGCACAUCUUGACGGUACCUAAUCAGAAAGCCACGGCUAACUACGUGCCAGCAGCCGCGGUAAUACGUANGUGGCAAGCGUUAUCCGAAUUAUUGGGCGUAAAGCGCGCGUAGCGGUUUUUUAGUCUGAUGUGAAAGCCCACGGCUCAACCGUGGAGGGUCAUUGGAAACUGGAAAACUUGAGUGCAGAAGAGGAAAGUGGAAUUCCAUGUGUAGCGGUGAAAUGCGCAGAGAUAUGGAGGAACACCAGUGGCGAAGGCGACUUUCUGGUCUGUAACUGACGCUGAUGUGCGAAAGCGUGGGGAUCAAACAGGAUUAGAUACCCUGGUAGUCCACGCCGUAAACGAUGAGUGCUAAGUGUUAGGGGGUUUCCGCCCCUUAGUGCUGCAGCUAACGCAUUAAGCACUCCGCCUGGGGAGUACGACCGCAAGGUUGAAACUCAAAGGAAUUGACGGGGACCCGCACAAGCGGUGGAGCAUGUGGUUUAAUUCGAAGCAACGCGAAGAACCUUACCAAAUCUUGACAUCCUUUGACAACUCUAGAGAUAGAGCCUUCCCCUUCGGGGGACAAAGUGACAGGUGGUGCAUGGUUGUCGUCAGCUCGUGUCGUGAGAUGUUGGGUUAAGUCCCGCAACGAGCGCAACCCUUAAGCUUAGUUGCCAUCAUUAAGUUGGGCACUCUAAGUUGACUGCCGGUGACAAACCGGAGGAAGGUGGGGAUGACGUCAAAUCAUCAUGCCCCUUAUGAUUUGGGCUACACACGUGCUACAAUGGACAAUACAAAGGGCAGCGAAACCGCGAGGUCAAGCAAAUCCCAUAAAGUUGUUCUCAGUUCGGAUUGUAGUCUGCAACUCGACUACAUGAAGCUGGAAUCGCUAGUAAUCGUAGAUCAGCAUGCUACGGUGAAUACGUUCCCGGGUCU
rnacentral:rRNA from 1 species